AGAGAUCAGUCUCUGCUUAUCGAAAGAUAAUUUGACAGAGUGGGGAUAGAGACAGCAUUCGCUCGUUUGGUCUGAAGCU